rnacentral:lncRNA from 1 species
GUUAAUAUUUUAAAAUAAAUAAAUAAAUAAAUGAAUGAUGAUGAAUGAAGUUCUUAUGCAAGAAUAGAGACAUUGACCUUUUUCUAUUCACAAGAGAUAGAUUUGAUUUUAAUUUGAGUCAUGAGAUAUUGAACAUUAAUUUUUACAAGAAAUGAGAUCAUAAUUUCGAAAUCUUGAAACAUUGAAAAUCUUUGAGAUGUUGGUCUUGAUAAAUAAGAAAAUGAAUGGU